ACGAACGCUGGCGGCGUGGAUAAGACAUGCAAGUCGAGCGCUGAUCACAGGGUAGCAAUAUUCUGUGGUCGGAGCGGCGCAAGGGGUGCGUAAACACGUGGGCAAUCUGCCGUGAAGUCGGGGACAACUUGCUGAAAGGCGAGCUAAUACCGGAUGUAACAACCAGGAGGCAUCUUUUGGUUGUCAAAGUUGGGGGACCCGUAAGGCCUGACGCUUCAACGGAUGAGCCCGCGGCCUAUCAGCUAGUUGGUGGAGGGUAACGGCUCACCAAGGCUUUGACGGGUAGCUGGUCUGAGAGGGACGACCAGCCACACUGGGAAACUGAGAACACGGUCCAGACACCUACGGGUGGCAGCAAGUCGAGAAUUUUUCACAAAUGGGGCGCAAGCCUGAUGGGAGGCGACGGCCGCGUGGGGGAUGAAUGGCUUCGGCCCGUAAACCCACCAGUCAUUUGCGAUCAAACCUCAUUAUUUAAAAGAUGAUGAGCUGAUAGUAGCGAAAAGAGGGAAGGGACGGCUAACUCUGUGCCAGCCAGCCCGCGGUAAUACAGAGGUUCCCGAGCGUUGUUCGGAUUUCACUGGGCGUAAAGGGUUGCGUAGGUGGUGAGGUAAGUCGGAUGUGGCAAGCUCGGAGCUCAACUCCGAAAUGGCAAAUUGGAAACUACCCUUGCUCGAGGGUUGGAAGGGGGACUGGAAUGCUUGGUGUAGCAGUGAAAUGCGUAGAUAUCAAGGCGGAACACCAGUGGCGGAAGGCGAGUCCCUGGACACAUCCUGACACUGAGGCACGAAAAGCUAGGGGAGGCAAACAGGAUUAGAUACCCUGGUAGUCCUAGCCCGUAAAACGGUGCCACGUUUUGCUGUAAAAGGAAUCGACCCCCUUUUUGUGGCGUAGCCAACGCGGUUAAACGUGCCCGCCUGGGAAGGUACGGUCGCCAAGAUUAAAACUCAAAGAAAAUUUGACGGGGGCCUGCACGAGCGGUUGGAGUAUGUGGCUUCAAUUCGAAUGCAACGCGAAGAACCUUACCUGGCCUUGACAUGUAUGUGGUAGAAGGGUUGAAAGCCUGACGACCUCGCAAGAGGAGCAUACACAGGUGCUGCAUGGCUGUCGUCAGCUCGUGUCGUGAGAUGUUGGGUUAAGUCCCGCAACGAGCGCAACCCCUGUGUCCUGUUGCCAAGCCGAUGAAAGUCGGAAGCACUCUGGACAGACUGCCUCGCUUAAAACGAGGAGGAAGGUGGGGAUGGACGUCAAGUUCAGUAUGGCCCUUACGGCCAGGGCCUGCACACGUACUACAAUGCCCGGCACAAAGGGAAGCAAUGAGGCGUAAGCUGGAGCAAAUCCCCAAAAAACCGGGCCCAGUUCAGAUUGUCGUCUGCAACUCGACGGCAUGGAAGCUGGAAUCGCUAAGUAAUGGCGCAUCAGCUAUGGCGCCGUGAAUACGUUCCCAGGCCCUUGUACACACCGCCCGUCACAUCAUGAAAGCCGUUUUUGUACCCGAAGUCAUCGUGUUAACCGCAAGGAGAUAGAUGGCCGAAGGUAUGGAUGGUGAUUGGGAUG
rnacentral:rRNA from 1 species